CCUACGGGAGGCAGCAGUGAGGAAUAUUGGUCAAUGGCCGUAAGGCUGAACCAGCCAAGUAGCGUGAGGGAAGACUGCCCUAUGGGUUGUAAACCUCUUUUAUGCGGGGAUAAAGGUGUCCACGUGUGGAUGUUUGCAGGUACCGUAUGAAUAAGGACCGGCUAAUUCCGUGCCAGCAGCCGCGGUAAUACGGAAGGUCCGGGCGUUAUCCGGAUUGAUUGGGUUUAAAGGGAGCGUAGGCCGGUCUUUAAGCGUGCCGUGAAAUUUUGUGGCUCAACCAUGAGAGUGCGGCGCGAACGGGAGGACUUGAGUGCGCGAGAGGCAGGUGGAAGUCGAGGUGUAGCGGUGAAAUGCUUAGAUAUCACGAAGAACCCCGAUGGCGAAGGCAGCCUGCCGGUGCGUUACUGACGCUGAGGCUCGAAAGCGCGGGUAUCGAACAGGAUUAGAUACCCGAGUAGUC
rnacentral:rRNA from 1 species